UCUCAUAAAUUGGAAACAAAGUGGGGGAGGUUUGCAGGAGUCCGGACAAUAGACAGGUAGGACUCCGAUACCCCUGACCCACCUAAUCCCCUCUCCCGAUCUUAUUUUCUUCCACUCCGCCCCUUCUCCUCUUGCUUUGCAUCCGCACCCUCCACCUCCGUCGUCGCCGCUGCAUGUCUCCAGCCGCCACAGAGGCAUUGCCGGACGUCCGCAAGUAGCACCUACGCGCCCGCUUGCCUGUACGAUGGAGUUGUCCACCCUCGAGCCGUUUGUACCCAGAGUACGAAGGAUGGUAAGCUACUUGGUGAUGGACGAUGAGUUGUUGUGCGAUGCGUGGUUGGCUGUAUCCGCGGAUUUCGUAGGCAGGAGCAGACGGGAAGCCUUCUAGCAACAAGUGCAUGAAAAGUUUCACGCGCGAAAGCACAUUGCGACUAAUGACAUGUACAUCAUUCAACAACGCAACAUGAGGUCGUUAUCGUAUCGCUGGUACACUAUCCAGGCCAGUGUCACCAAGCUCGAGCCCAUAUUGCCGUGGUGUACCACAGGACAGAGGGACGGCCAUUUACGUGCACACAUUGUUGGAUGAAACUGAAGGGGGAGCAUGAGUGGAACGACAUGAUCCGUUGAUGAAAAACUUGUUGGUGUUAGAAAUAUGCCCUAGAGGCAAU